UUUAAGGUCAUAAUUUUUGAGUUUUGUAUAAAUGUUAACAACAUAUGUGUAACAGCCCACAGACUGUGUUCGAAAAUAAAAACCAUAGUCUAAACAUUCCUUUACACCUGUAUAAAUAAAAUAUAUUCACGCACUGCAAAACUUAUUUCGAUUUAACUUUUUCAAGGACAAACCACAAACCGAAUCACUAUAAAACAGUUGAUUUAACAUAGUUCACUUAGUUCUACCAGAUUUUCAAAGCUAAUAUACAAUUAUACCUAACCUAAUCUUUCCGAUUAUAUUAGGAAGUGAAUAGAUAAAAAUGAGACGUUUUUGUUUUUUAUUAUCAUUCGUUGUGGUAAAUGUUUUAGCAGGUUUUGAAUUAUAUGGUAAUU